rnacentral:rRNA from 1 species
AUUGAACGCUGGCGGCAUGCCUUACACAUGCAAGUCGAACGGCAGCACGGGUGCUUGCACCUGGUGGCGAGUGGCGAACGGGUGAGUAAUACAUCGGAACGUACCUUAUCGUGGGGGAUAACGCAGCGAAAGUUGCGCUAAUACCGCAUACGCCCUGAGGGGGAAAGCGGGGGACCGUAAGGCCUCGCGCGAUUAGAGCGGCCGAUGUCUGAUUAGCUUGUUGGGGAGGUAAAAGCUCACCAAGGCGAUGAUCAGUAGCUGGUCUGAGAGGACGAUCAGCCACACUGGGACUGAGACACGGCCCAGACUGCUACGGGAGGCAGCAGUGGGGAAUUUUGGACAAUGGGGGCAACCCUGAUCCAGAAAUGCCGCGUGAGUGAAGAAGGCCUUCGGGUUGUAAAGCUCUUCUGUCAGGGAAGAAACAGCAGCUCUAACACAGUCUGCGAAUGACGGUACCUGAAGAAUAAGCACCGGCUAACUACGUGCCAGCCGCCGCAGUAA